AAAUCUGGUUGAUCCUGCCAGAGGCGACCGCUUUUGGAGUUCGAUUAAGCCAUGCGAGUCGAGAGCCUUAGGGGCUCGGCAUACUGCUCAGUAACACGUGGAUAACCUGCCCUAUUGUCUGGAAUAACCUCGGGAAACUGAGAACAAGGCCGGAUAACCCACAAUGCCUGGAACGGUUUGUGGGUGAAGAUAGGAUGGGUCUGCGGCGUAUCAGGUCGUAGGGGGUGUAAUGGACCUCCUAGCCAUCGACGCGUA
rnacentral:rRNA from 2 species